ACGAACGCUGGCGGCGUGCCUAAUACAUGCAAGUAGAACGCACAGUUUAUACCGUAGCUUGCUACACCCUAGACUGUGAGUUGCGAACGGGUGAGUAACGCGUAGGUAACCUGCCUGGUAGCGGGGGAUAACUAUUGGAAACGAUAGCUAAUACCGCAUAAUAUUGAUUAUUGCAUGAUAAUUAAUUGAAAGGUGCAAUUGCACCACUACCAGAUGGACCUGCGUUGUAUUAGCUAGUAGGUGAGGUAACGGCUCACCUAGGCGACGAUACAUAGCCGACCUGAGAGGGUGAUCGGCCACACUGGGACUGAGACACGGCCCAGACUCCUACGGGAGGCAGCAGUAGGGAAUCUUCGGCAAUGGACGAAAGUCUGACCGAGCAACGCCGCGUGAGUGAAGAAGGUUUUCGGAUCGUAAAGCUCUGUUGUAAGAGAAGAACGGGUGUGAGAGUGGAAAGUUCACACUGUGACGGUAUCUUACCAGAAAGGGACGGCUAACUACGUG
rnacentral:rRNA from 1 species